GACGAACGCUGGCGGCGUGCUUAACACAUGCAAGUCGAGCGAUGAAGUUUCUUCGGAAAUGGAUUAGCGGCGAACGGGUGAGGAACACGUGAAGAAUCUGCCCUCCACUUCGGGAUAACACCGGGAAACCGGUGCUAAUACUGAAUAUUGAAACAUAAGUGGCAUCACUGAGUUUUGAAAGAAUUUCGGUGGAGGAUGACUUCGCGGCCUAUCAGCUAGUUGGUGAGGUAAUGGCUCACCAAGGCAACGACGGGUAGCCGGCCUGAGAGGGCGACCGGCCACACUGGGACUGAGACACGGCCCAGACUCCUACGGGAGGCAGCAGUGGGGAAUAUUGGGCAAUGGAGGAAGCUCUGACCCAGCGACGCCGCGUGCGGGAUGAAGGCCUUCGGGUUGUAAACCGCUUUCAGUAGGGAAGAAGCGAAAGUGACGGUACCUACAAAAGAAGCACCGGCUAACUAUGUGCCAGCCGCCGCAGUAA
rnacentral:rRNA from 1 species